AGUGAAGAGGGAAGAGCUCUUCAUUGGAAUCUGGCGGUGUUGCACCGUCCGAGUUGUAGAUGAGGAGUAGUUCGUCUGGACUGCAUGGCAUCCAAGUACAAUAGGCCGUCAGUGGGACAUCAUAGAGGGUGACAAUCCCGUCCUUGAUGCCAAUGUACAAGUCCGUUACGAUGACUAUCUCAGAGAGUCGAGCAGUUUGGGAUUUGCUGCUUAAACAUGGGAGGUAGAUUCCUUCUAAAGCUAAAUACAGGCGAGAGACCGAUAGAGAACAAGUACCGCAAGGGAAAGAUGAAAUAGCACUCUGUGAAGGGAGUCAAAAGGCGUGAAAUUGUUGCGAGAGAAGCGAUUCAAGUCAGCGUAGCUAGGCCCAUCAAGCUUUAUCGCUUUGGACUAGCUUUGCCAGCGGUCUUGUCCUAGAGACUUGACUUUGUAUGCCCAGCCUGGUCUAUACAGGUAGCCCCUUCUUGGGGGCCAGUGGCGUUGCUGGUGGAAUGGCUUGCAAUCGACUCGUCUUGAAACACGGACCAAGGAGUCUAACAUGUAUGCGAGUAUAAGGGUGGCAAACCCGUAUGCGCAAUGAAAGUGACUUUCGUUGAUUGAGAAUGGCCUGACGACC
rnacentral:rRNA from 1 species